rnacentral:rRNA from 1 species
AUUGAACGCUGGCGGCAGGCUUAACACAUGCAAGUCGAGCGGUAACAGAUCUAGCUUGCUAGAUGCUGACGAGCGGCGGACGGGUGAGUAAUGCAUAGGAAUCUGCCCAGUAGUGGGGGAUAGCCCGGGGAAACCCGGAUUAAUACCGCAUACGCCCUACGGGGGAAAGCAGGGGAUCUUCGGACCUUGCGCUAUUGGAUGAGCCUAUGUCGGAUUAGCUAGUUGGUAGGGUAAGAGCCUACCAAGGCAACGAUCCGUAGCUGGUUUGAGAGGAUGAUCAGCCACAUCGGGACUGAGACACGGCCCGAACUCCUACGGGAGGCAGCAGUGGGGAAUAUUGGACAAUGGGGGCAACCCUGAUCCAGCCAUGCCGCGUGUGUGAAGAAGGCUUUCGGUUUGUAAAGCACUUUCAGUGAGGAGGAAAACCUUACGACUAAUACUCGUGAGGCUUGACGUUACUCACAGA